rnacentral:rRNA from 1 species
GACGAACGCUGGCGGCGUGCUUAACACAUGCAAGUCGAACGCUGAAGCUUGGUGCUUGCACUGGGUGGAUGAGUGGCGAACGGGUGAGUAAUACGUGAGUAACCUGCCCUUGACUCUGGGAUAAGCCUGGGAGACUGGGUCUAAUACUGGAUACGACAUGUCACCGCAUGGUGGCGUGUGGAAAGGGUUUUACUGGUGUUGGAUGGGCUCACGGCCUAUCAGCUUGUUGGUGGGGUAAUGGCUCACCAAGGCGACGACGGGUAGCCGGCCUGAGAGGGUGACCGGCCACACUGGGACUGAGACACGGCCCAGACUCCUACGGGAGGCAGCAGUGGGGAAUAUUGCACAAUGGGCGAAAGCCUGAUGCAGCGACGCCGCGUGAGGGAUGACGGCCUUCGGGUUGUAAACCUCUUUCAGCACGGAAGAAGCGAAAGUGACGGUACGUGCAGAAGAAGCGCCGGCUAACUACGUG